AUUGAACGCUGGCGGAAUGCUUUACACAUGCAAGUCGAACGGCAGCACAGGGGCAACCCUGGUGGCGCGUGGCGAACGGGUGAGUAAUACAUCUGAACGUGCCCGGUCGUGGGGGAUAACGUAGCGAAAGUUACGCUAAUACCGCAUACGAUCUGAGGAUGAAAGCGGGGGACCUUCGGGCCUCGCGCGCUCGGAGCGGCCGAUGUCCGAUUAGUUAGUUGGUGGGGUAAAGGCCUACCAAGCCGACGAUCUGUAGCUGGUCUGAGGGGACGACCAGCCACACUGGGACUGAGACACGGCCCAGACUCCUGAGGGAGGCAGCAGUGGGGAAUUUUGGACAAUGGGCGCAAGCCUGAUCCAGCCAGUCCGCGUGCAGGACGAAGGCCUUCGGGUUGUAAACUGCUUUUGUAUGGAACGAAAAGGCUCUGGCUAAUACCUGGGGCUCAUGACGGUACCGGAAGAAUAAGCACCGGCUAACUACGUG
rnacentral:rRNA from 1 species